GUUGUUAAAACACAGUUGGUUAACAGCUCUGUACUGCUGGAGGGGGAUAACUUGUUAGCAUCAGAAGUUGUGAAAGCUGCAGC
ensembl:miRNA gga-mir-1804 gga-mir-1804